GGAUGAACGCUAGCGACAGGCCUAACACAUGCAAGUCGAGGGCAGCACGAAGUAAGCUUGCUUACUUGGUGGCGACCGGCGCACGGGUGCGUAACAGGUGUGCAAUCUGUCCAUAAUCGGGGAAUAGCCCAGCGAAAGUUGGAUUAAUGCUCCAUGUGAGUAAGAGAGGCAUCUCGUUUAUUUGAAACGCAAGGAUUAUGGGUGAGCACGCUUCUGAUUAGGGUAAGUUGGUGGGGGUUAAACGGGCCCACCAAGGCGACGAUCAGUAGCCGACCUGAGAGGGUGACCGGCCACAUUGGGACUGAGACACGGCCCAAACUCCUACGGGAGGCAGCAGUGGGGAAUAUUGCACAAUGGGGGAAACCCUGAUGCAGCGACGCCGCGUGAGUGAAGAAGUAAUUUCGGUAUGUAAAGCUCUAUCAGCAGGGAAGAAAAUGACGGUACCUGACUAAGAAGCCCCGGCUAACUACGUG
rnacentral:rRNA from 1 species